rfam:Helianthus annuus linkage group 2, whole genome shotgun sequence.
GGUUGCGAUCAUACCAGCACUAAUGCCCGGAUCCCAUCAGAACUCCGCAGUUAAGCGUGCUUGGGCGAGAGUAGUACUAGGAUGGGUGACCCCCUGGGAAGUCCUCGUGUUGCAACCC